rnacentral:rRNA from 1 species
CAAAUCUUGACAUCCUUUGACCGCUCUAGAGAUAGAGUCUUCCCCUUCGGGGGACAAAGUGACAGGUGGUGCAUGGUUGUCGUCAGCUCGUGUCGUGAGAUGUUGGGUUAAGUCCCGCAACGAGCGCAACCCUUAAGCUUAGUUGCCAUCAUUAAGUUGGGCACUCUAGGUUGACUGCCGGUGACAAACCGGAGGAAGGUGGGGAUGACGUCAAAUCAUCAUGCCCCUUAUGAUUUGGGCUACACACGUGCUACAAUGGAUAAUACAAAGGGCAGCGAAUCCGCGAGGCCAAGCAAAUCCCAUAAAAUUAUCCUCAGUUCGGAUUGUAGUCUGCAACUCGACUACAUGAAGCUGGAAUCGCUAGUAAUCGUAGAUCAGCAUGCUACGGUGAAUACGUUCCCGGGUCUUGUACACACGCACGUCACACCAUGG